rnacentral:lncRNA from 1 species
CUGUAGGCUGCGGUGCGCUGAGGCCCUUGGCCAAGUGGGCCCGGAGCCUGGGCCUCGGGAACCGAUGCUCACACUGAGCCACUGGAGAGACGUGGCGGUGAGGACUGUGGGCUCCAGAGGCGAGUCCACGCCUAACCCAGAUCCCGUGAUGCCAGCAUCCUCGGGAAAUGGGCCUGUGGCUGUGACUUAAUAUCUGAGGUGGGAGGGUCGUGCUGGGAUGUCCCAGGGGGCCCAAAUCCAGCCACGAGUGUGCUUGUAAGAGAAAGGAGAGACACAGAGGGGAGGUGGCCUCGUGAGGAUGGAGGCAGGGGUGGAGUCACACAGCCACAGCCCGGGGU